GCGGGUAUGGUUCAGUGGUAGAACGUGACCUUCCCAAGGUCGAGAUACGGGUU
rnacentral:tRNA from 1 species